ACGGGAGGCAGCAGUGAGGAAUAUUGGACAAUGGAGGCAACUCUGAUCCAGCCAAACCGCGUGAAGGAAGACGGUCCUAUGGAUUGUAAACUUCUUUUGUAAGGGGAUAAACCUAGAUAUGUAUAUCUAGCUGAAGGUACCUUACGAAUAAGCAUCGGCUAACUCCGUGCCAGCAGCCGCGGUAAUACGGAGGAUGCAGGCGUUAUCCGGAUUUAUUAGGUUUAAAGGGUGCGCAGGCGGGACAUUAAGUCGGCGGUGAAAUACCGUGGCCCAACCACGGGGCUGCCGUCGAUACUGAUGACCUAGAGUGCGUGUGACGUAGGCGGAAUGUGACGUGUAGCGGUGAAAUGCUUAGAUAUGUCACAGAACACCGAUUGCGAAGGCAGCCUACGAAUGCGUAACUGACGCUCAUGCACGAAAGCGCGGGUAGCGAACAGGAUUAGAUACCCUGGUA
rnacentral:rRNA from 1 species